UUUAGUGAUGAUAUUUGAUUACUUGUUGCUUGAAUAUAUAUAUGUGAGCACAAUUGACUACAACGGUAUCUGAAU
rnacentral:snoRNA from 1 species